rnacentral:rRNA from 1 species
UACGAAGGGUGCAAGCGUUAAUCGGAAUUACUGGGCGUAAAGCGUGCGUAGGUGGUUUCUUAAGUCUGCUGUGAAAGCCCUGGGCUCAACCUGGGAAUGGCGGUGGAUACUGAGGAGCUAGAGUGCGGUAGAGGAGGGUGGAAUUCCCGGUGUAGCGGUGAAAUGCGUAGAGAUCAGGAAGAACACCAAUGGCGAAAGCAGCUCGCUGGGACGGUACUGACGCUGAGACGCGAAAGCGUGGGGAGCGAACAGG